rnacentral:rRNA from 1 species
CGAACGGGUGAGUAACACGUGGGUGAUCUGCCCUGCACUUUGGGAUAAGCCUGGGAAACUGGGUCUAAUACCGAAUACACCUCUUGGGUUGCAUGACUCUUGGGGGAAAGCUUUUGCGGUGUGGGAUGGGCCCGCGGCCUAUCAGCUUGUUGGUGGGGUGAUGGCCUACCAAGGCGACGACGGGUAGCCGGCCUGAGAGGGUGUCCGGCCACACUGGGACUGAGAUACGGCCCAGACUCCUACGGGAGGCAGCAGUGGGGAAUAUUGCACAAUGGGCGCAAGCCUGAUGCAGCGACGCCGCGUGGGGGAUGACGGCCUUCGGGUUGUAAACCUCUUUCAGCACAGACGAAGCGCAAGUGACGGUAUGUGCAGAAGAAGCACCGGCCAACUACGUGCCAGCAGCCGCGGUAAUACGUAGGGUGCGAGCGUUGUCCGGAAUUACUGGGCGUAAAGAGCUCGUAGGUGGUUUGUCGCGUUGUUCGUGAAAACCGGGGGCUUAACCCUCGGCGUGCGGGCGAUACGGGCAGACUGGAGUACUGCAGGGGAGACUGGAAUUCCUGGUGUAGCGGUGGAAUGCGCAGAUAUCAGGAGGAACACCGGUGGCGAAGGCGGGUCUCUGGGCAGUAACUGACGCUGAGGAG